AUGCAUGACAAAAAUAUGAAAAGUUUAUUUUUUGAAGGAGAAAAAGGAGAUGAUGAUGAUGAUAUUGGCAAUGAAGGAGACAAUGGUAUUGACAAUAAAAGAGAGGAAGAUAUCAUAAUGGAAGAAGAUGGUAUUGGUAUGGAAGGAGAGAAUGAUAACCAGAACAUGGGUGAAGAAAAUAUGGAUGAUGACCUUUUCAUGGAUUAG